CUCGCCGUGUCCCUGGUACAUUUCAAGCAGCAGGCUGUGCUCUGCCGGGGGCUCACUCAUACAGUAGGCAAUCAGGGAUUACCUAGCGGCCGUGCAGCCCCCCCGCCGCGGAUGAUGUAGGUGCGGGCAGACGUUGAGGCCGUGUACAUGGUAUAUACCCGCCCGUUCGCCAGCCGCAGGGUCCCCCCAGCCGGGGAGCAGGCCGCCCGGGCUCCGUCUGAGCAGCAGCGUGGGAAGGCGAUCUGCAUCACUGAUGUAAUUAAAGCGAUCUGAGCAACCAGGACUCCCUCCUCCCCCACUCCGUGUUGCGGUGUCUCCAAGAUCCCGGGCCCUCUCCCGCAAGCUGCCAGGGGCCCUCUGCACCAUUAACCCCUUAUACACCGGGUAACUUAUUACUCCUCGGACCAGUGUCAGUACUCCCCCCAUUUUACACUACCUUCAGCAUUCACCUGCCCACACCCCUUCAUUGACCCCUGAGCCAGACUUUGUGCUUCUCAUGCCCCAAUAGCAGCCUGUGCCGCAUGGUGUACCCCAGCCUGGAGCAGACCCAGGACAUCUGACAGCUCUCCCCUCCUGUACCAGCUUCUCACACUUUCUCCUGGAUCCCCCUCCCUCUCAAGGCCAUUGCAGUGGAUUCCUCAUCUCCCCUACAUUCCAUCCCUGGAAUUACUGCUCACUGUCUGGAGAGGCUCCCUUGUGCUGCAGCCUGGGGAGAAGACACACAUUGUAUACACAUACUGAUUAGUAGCAGUAUUCAUUUUUCUUUUCUUUUUACUUGUUACCCAAGUCCUCCUUUUGCCUAUUGCCCCAGGAAUGAGUAUAGAAAUCCCUGAGGGGCUGACCGAGCUGCUGCAGGGCUUUACUGUGGAGGUGCUGAGGAGGCAGCCUGAGGACCUGAUUGACUUCGCCCUGCAGUACUUCACUCAGCUCAAGGAGUCUCACAGCCAGGGGACCACCCUCAGCCAUGGCAUGGACUUACCCUUCAAACACUUCAAGGGGGUCAACUUUUCCGAAGAACCCAUGCAGACAGACUCUGAAAAUGGCGAUGAAGAAGAGGAUGAUGAUGAUGAGGAAUUUGUGGGUAUGUUACCCUAGAGAAUAGUUGAAAUAGGAAAAAACCUUGCCACCACCAUUCAUUAGCUUUUUUGUAGGAGCUUAUUUUAGUAGUAUGCAUGUUACAUUUGUGUGAGUUGUCAUUGCAAUGCUGCAUUGACAUCAACAAAGCUUGGCAAAUGAGGGGUUCUUUAUGGAGAAACUAAUGAUGGCAUAUUCUACCAGCUUGUAUACAGGUGUCAGGUGCAUGAUGCAUACAUGGCCAAAAUUUACUUAGAAUAUUGGAUUUCUUUUAUAUUAU